UUAAAUUGAAGAGUUUGAUCAUGGCUCAGAUUGAACGCUGGCGGCAGGCCUAACACAUGCAAGUCGAACGGUAACAGGAAACAGCUUGCUGUUUCGCUGACGAGUGGCGGACGGGUGAGUAAUGUCUGGGAAACUGCCUGAUGGAGGGGGAUAACUACUGGAAACGGUAGCUAAUACCGCAUAACGUCGCAAGACCAAAGAGGGGGACCUUAGGGCCUCUUGCCAUCGGAUGUGCCCAGAUGGGAUUAGCUAGUAGGUGGGGUAAAGGCUCACCUAGGCGACGAUCCCUAGCUGGUCUGAGAGGAUGACCAGCCACACUGGAACUGAGACACGGUCCAGACUCCUACGGGAGGCAGCAGUGGGGAAUAUUGCACAAUGGGCGCAAGCCUGAUGCAGCCAUGCCGCGUGUAUGAAGAAGGCCUUCGGGUUGUAAAGUACUUUCAGCGGGGAGGAAGGGAGUAAAGUUAAUACCUUUGCUCAUUGACGUUACCCGCAGAAGAAGCACCGGCUAACUCCGUGCCAGCAGCCGCGGUAAUACGG
rnacentral:rRNA from 1 species